rnacentral:rRNA from 1 species
UACAGAGGUCCCAAGCGUUGUUCGGAUUCAUUGGGCGUAAAGGGUGUGUAGGUGGCGCGCUAAGUCGGGUGUGAAAUUUCGGAGCUUAACUCCGAAACUGCAUUCGAUACUGGCGUGCUUGAGGACUGGAGAGGAGACUGGAAUUUACGGUGUAGCAGUGAAAUGCGUAGAUAUCGUAAGGAAGACCAGUGGCGAAGGCGGCUCUCUGGAACGCAACUGACGCUGAGACGCGAAAGCGUGGGGAGCAAACAGG